rnacentral:rRNA from 1 species
AUUUACGGGAGGCAGCAGUGGGGAAUAUUGGACAAUGGGCCACAAGCCUGAUCCAGCAAUUCUGUGUGCACGAUGAAGGUCUUCGGAUUGUAAAGUGCUUUCAGUUGGGAAGAAGAAAGUGACGGUACCAACAGAAGAAGCGACGGCUAAAUACGUGCCAGCAGCCGCGGUAAUAAU